CCCGCCAAUUCCUUUAAGUUUCUCCGGUUGAUCCUGCCGGAGGUCACUGCUAUUGGGAUCCGACUAAGCCAUGCGAGUCGAGAGGGUUCGGCCCUCGGCUGACGGCUCAGUAACACGUGGAUAAUCUGCCCUAAGGUGGAGGAUAACCUCGGGAAACUGAGGAUAAUGCCCCAUAGGCCUCAUAUGCUGGAAUGCUUUGAGGUCGAAAGCCCCGGCGCCCUAGGAUGAGUCUGCGGCCUAUCAGGUUGUAGUGAGUGUAACGGACUCACUAGCCGACAACGGGUACGGGCCUUGGGAGAGGUAGCCCGGAGAUGGAUUCUGAGACACGAAUCCAGGCCCUACGGGGCGCAGCAGGCGCGAAAACUUCACAAUGCGGGCAACCGCGAUGAGGGAACUCCAAGUGCCAGUACAUUGUGCUGGCUGUUCGCUUGCCUAAAAAGCUUGCGGAGUAAGGGGUGGGUAAGACUGGUGCCAGCCGCCGCGGUAAUACCAGCAGCCCAAGUGGUGAUCGCUAUUAUUGGGCCUAAAGCGUCCGUAGCCGGGUUGGUAAACCCUUGGGUAAAUCGUCCAGCUUAACUGAACGAAUUCCGAGGAGACUGCCAAUCUUGGGACCGGGAGAGGUCGGAGGUACUCCAGGGGUAGGGGUGAAAUCCUGUAAUCCUUGGGGGACCACCGGUGGCGAAGGCGUCCGACUAGAACGGGUCCGACGGUAAGGGACGAAGCCCUGGGUCGCAAACCGGAUUAGAUACCCGGGUAGUCCAGGGUGUAAACGCUGCGGGCUUGGUGUUGCGGGUCCUACGAGGGCGCGCAGUGCCGGAGAGAAGUUGUUAAGCCCGCCGCCUGGGGAGUACGCUCGCAAGAGUGAAACUUAAAGGAAUUGGCGGGCCUGAAUU
rnacentral:rRNA from 1 species